CUAAGAAUCUUCCGCAAUGGGGGAAACCCUGACGGAGCGACGCCGCGUGGAUGAUGAAGGCCGUAAGGUUGUAAAAUCCUUUUGUCGGUGAAGAAUAAGCCAGGGAGUGGAAAGCCCUGGUGAUGACGUUGGCCGACGAAUAAGCCCCGGCUAAUUACGUGCCAGCAGCCGCGGUAAUACGUAUGGGGCAAGCGUUGUUCGGAUUUAUUGGGCGUAAAGGGCGUGUAGGCGGCUCAUCAAGUCUGGUGUGAAAUUGCAGAGCUUAACUCUGCGUAUGCGGUGGAAACUGGUGGGCUUGAGUUCUUGAGGGGAAGCUGGAAUUCCAGGUGUAGGGGUGAAAUCUGUAGAUAUCUGGAAGAACACCGGUGGCGAAGGCGAGCUUCUAUCAGAGGACUGACGCUGAGGCGCGAAAGCGUGGGGAGCAAACA
rnacentral:rRNA from 1 species